AGAUUGAACGCUGGCGGCGUGCCUAACACAUGCAAGUCGAGCGGUAACAGGUGUAGCAAUACAUGCUGACGAGCGGCGAACGGGUGAGUAAUGCUUUGGAAUCUUCCCAGUAGUGGGGAAUAACCAGUCGAAAGAUUGGCUAAUACCGCAUACGUCUGUAAAGGGAAAGCGGGGGCUCGUAAGACCUCGCGCUAUUGGAUGAGCCAAAGUCGGAUUAGCUAGUUGGUGGGGUAAUGGCCUACCAAGGCGACAAUCCGUAGCUGGUCUGAGAGGACGACCAGCCACACCGGAACUGAGACACGGUCCGGACUCCUACGGGAGGCAGCAGUGGGGAAUAUUGGACAAUGGGGGAAACCCUGAUCCAGCGACGCCGCGUGUGUGAAGAAGGCCUGCGGGUUGUAAAGCACUUUUAGUGGGGACAAAAAAGCUACGGAUUAAUACUCUGUGGUCUUGAUUUAACCCAAAGAAAAAGCACCGGCUAACUCUGCGCCAGCAGCCGCGGU
rnacentral:rRNA from 1 species